rnacentral:rRNA from 1 species
UACGUAGGGUGCGAGCGUUAAUCGGAAUUACUGGGCGUAAAGCGUGCGCAGGCGGUUCGUGAUGUCUGAUGUGAAAGCCCCGGGCUCAACCUGGGAAUUGCAUUGGAAACUAGCGGGCUGGAGUGUGGCAGAGGGGGGUGGAAUUCCACGUGUAGCAGUGAAAUGCGUAGAGAUGUGGAGGAACACCAGUGGCGCAAGCGGCUGACUGGCCGAGACCUGACGCUGAGACACGACGGCGUGGGGAGCAAACCGG